CAUCAUGCCCAGCUAAUUUUUUGUAUUUUUAGUAGAGACGGGGUUUCACCAUGUUGACCAGGAGGGUCUCGAUCUCUUGACCUCGUGAUCCACCCGCCUCAGCCUCCCAAAGUGCUGGGAUUACAGGCUUGAGCCACCGCGCCCAGCCCCUAAUCUGCUUUUUUUAAAAAGUGGGGCUAUUGAAGGUAAGUUACUUGUCCAAGGCCACUCAUAUAUCUGGUAGCAAAAUCACAACUAAGAGAUAGGUCUAUACUUGGGAGACAAUUAUAUUAGCUCUUUUGUCCCAUAUAUAGGGAAAAGAUAACUUAAGAAACCAGUGAACAAUUGUUGUCCAAUAGUUACAGGGGAAAAUAUCUGCUCCAUUCUGAUCUGGCACAUUAGAGAGGGGAGAUGAUUUCCUUUAAUUAAAAAAAAUUUUUUUUGAGGCAGAGUCUCAUUUUGUCACCCAGGCUGGAGUGCUGUGGUGUGAUCUUGGCUCACUGUAACCUCUACCUUCUGGGUUCAAGUGAUUCUCAUGACUCAGCCUCCCUAGUAGCUGGAACUACAGGCACGUACCACCAUGCCAGCUAAUUUUUGUAUUUUUAGGAGGGACAAGAUUUCGCCAUGUUGGUCAGGAUGGUCUUGAACUCCUGACCUCAAGUGAUCCACCUGCCUCAGCCUCCCAAAGUGCUGGGAUUACAGAGAGAACAGACUUGUUUGUCUAGAACAAACACACAGAGCUGAGAGAUCAAGAAAUGGUGGAACCAGGGAGCCCGACUCUGCUUUGCUUAACACGAUUGGAAGGAGUGACUCCAACAGCCAGUCACCACGAGGCGUCUCAGUGUCUGGGGAGAAUUCGUGUGAACUGUCAGCUGAAAGCAUUGACAGCUUCCCAUUAGUAAUGAAUUAUGGAAAUAAUUUUAUUAAUUUCUUCACCUCAAUCAGUAUAUGUUAGUGAAAGUUGCUCAACCAAACAUCAAAGAACCAUUGCAUUUUAACCUUUUAGUCUUUUACCAUGUAACCAGGAACAGCAAAGAAAUAAAUUAGUGUAGCAUUCCUUUAAAAAAAAAAUGCCUGGAGAUAAGGAGUGGACAUAAUUUUUUCUGUUUCUAAUUUAAUAACAGGUUUAUGGUUUUAUGCAAAACCAUUCACAUUACAUUUGACCCUCUGGGAGCUGCUUUUUUUUCUGUGGAUAUAAUUUUGAGUCUUUAAUAAUCCGUUGUUAAACCCAGUCUGAAUUUGAUUAAUGAAUUGUGAUGAACUGGUGCAUUAAUUUGCAGGUUUGGUCUAAUGCCCUAAAAGGCUGCUUUGUUGCAGGUUAUUAAUGCUCAACUCUUCAAGGGGAGCCAUGGGGUGGCGGCAGUGUGUCCUGUAAUGAACAAGCUACACAUUUGAACAGUCCCAGUGAUAGAGCUGUAGCUCUAGAAGUCAUCAUGGAGCUAUGUUAUUGAAAGAAAGAAAAUCCUGAUUUAGCUUAAUGCCCUAAACAGGGGGCCACAGACCGCCAGCUCCACAGGUCUCUGGAUGGAAUUCAGGGGGAAUCUCUGAAUUUUGAUAGGAAAAAAAUCUUUUAUUAACCUCUAACUGAAAUGUAACAUCAUUCAAUUAUGAAUGUGUAGGCGACAAUCAUAGUAUUCUUAGCCGUGUCUGUGACUUUGUCAUCUCUGGAAAUCACAGAUAUUUCCACAACACGUUAUAGAGGGGCAAGUACCUCACCAUGUCAUUUGUAUUUGUCGCUACCUCAGUGUUAUAGUAAGUGUGAGGACAGCUGCCUAUUUAAUGUAAUAAAGAAUUACAUAUAUUACUAUCUUGUUCAUUUUUUAAAAAAUGACUAUUUCCAAUAUAACUGGUUUCAUUUGUAAUUUUAUUUUAGAUAUUAAAAACAAGAUUCCAAGAAGGAGUUUAUGGCCCCCAAAUGGUUAAGAACCCCAUUUCCUGAGUGACGGCUGUCUGUGCUACCCCUUAGAGAUGCUUUGACCUGUUCCUCAGAGCUCUAGUUUCAGGAACAUGCAAGCUCCAGAUAUGCUACCAAUGCAGCCGUGAUAGCAAUGACUGAGUUGUGCAAACGUCGUCGACUCUUCAAUUACUCCCUCCUUACUUUCCUCCUCCGAAGCUCUUGAAGCUAUGAACUGUUUGUUUUACUCACUUAUAUUUCCCCAACACAUAUCUUAUUUGACACAUAGUAGGCACUUAGUCAAUAUUUAUAUAUGAGUGAUAGCUUUAAGAGAAAGCAAUUUUUUUGCCCCAUUUGAGUAAAUCUGGGAUUUAAAAUCUUUUUUUAAUGAAAUAAAAUUUCGUAUCCACACUCUAAAGAGUUGAUUACAUUAUAAAAGGUAUUUACAAGGCAUUAGAAAUGUUUAUAGGAAAUAGUAUUGACCAGUUUAUUGUUCAGCUGCUCAGUUUAUCUGGGUACUGUUGAUUCUCAUAACUGAUUUUUUUCAAAGCAUUGUUAUAAUUAAACAAAGAGAACUGGAAUUCUCCAAAGACAAAUAUAGUGUUAGAGAGUUAGGAAAAUCAGAUUAAGUAAAAAGAUGAGCCUGUGUGUUGGGAGUGCCAUGUGUGUGGAUGUGUUUGUGUGUCUCUGUGUGUAAAGAGAUCCAACGUAGUGAAAGAGUCUUUAGAGCUGUAAGUUGCCUUAGAGAUUAUUUUUCAAUUUAAUUUAACAAGUAUUGAAA
rnacentral:lncRNA from 1 species